UACGAAGAGGGCUAGCGUUGCUCGGAAUCACUGGGCGUAAAGCGCACGUAGGCGGCUUUCUAAGUCAGGGGUGAAAUCCUGGAGCUCAACUCCAGAACUGCCUUUGAUACUGGAGAGCUUGAGUCCGGAAGAGGUGAGUGGAACUCCGAGUGUAGAGGUGAAAUUCGUAGAUAUUCGGAAGAACACCAGUGGCGAAGGCGGCUCACUGGUCCGGUACUGACGCUGAGGUGCGAAAGCGUGGGGAGCAAACAGG
rnacentral:rRNA from 1 species